rnacentral:rRNA from 1 species
UACGUAGGCAGCAAGCGUUGUUCGGAAUUACUGGGCGUAAAGAGUGUGUAGGCGGUUUUCUAAGUUCGGUGUGAAAUCUCCCGGCUUAACUGGGAGGGUGCGCCGGAAACUGGAGGACUGGAGUGCCGGAGAGGAUAGCGGAAUUCCUGGUGUAGCGGUGGAAUGCGUAGAGAUCCGGAAGAACACCGGAGGCGAAGGCGGCUUGCUGGGCGUGAUCUGACGCUGAGGCGCGAAAGCGUGGGGAGCGAACAGG